CCUAUUAUGCCCACUCUACGUCCCCCCGCGCAUUCCUUGUCCUUGUUCACAGCCCCAACUUCCAAACAGAGUGUGCCCGCGAUUAAGUGCGUCGCUGAGGAUCCUUUUAUUAUCUAGAAAGCUGGUAGAAUAAGGAGAGGGCAAGUCUGGUGUCAGCCGCCGCGGUAAUACCAGCUCUCCGAGUGGUGUGGAUGUUUAUUGGGCCUAAAGCAUCCGUAGCUGGCCAAGUUAGUCCCCUGUUAAACCCAACGAAUUAAUCGUUGGAUUGCGGGGGAUACUGCUCGGCUAGGGGACGAGAGAGGCCGACGGUAUUCUCGGGGUAGGGGUGAAAUCCUAUAAUCCCGGGAAGACCACCAGUGGCGAAGGCUGUCGGCUAGAACGAGCCCGACGGUGAGGGAUGAAAGCUGGGGGAGCGAACCGGAUUAGAUACCCGGGUAGUCCCAGCUGUAAACGAUGCAGGCUAGGUGUUUGGACGGCCACGUGCCGUUCUAGUGCCGCAGGGAAGCUGUUAAGCCUGCCGCCUGGGGAGUACGAUCGCAAGAUUGAAACUUAAAGGAAUUGGCGGGGGAGCACCACAAGGGGUGAAGCUUGCGGUUUAAUUGGAGUCAACGCCGGAAAUCUCACCGGAAGCGACAGCAGUUUGAAGGCCAGAUUAAAGGUCUUGCCAGACGAGCUGAGAGGAGGUGCAUGGCCGUCGCCAGUUCGUGCCGUGAGGUGUCCUGUUAAGUCAGGCAACGAUCGAGACCCGCGUCCUCUGUUGCAACUGGCCUAGAGCUAGGCACACUGAGGAGACCGCCGCUGAUAAAGCGGAGGAAGGAGCGGGCCACGGCAGGUCAGUAUGCCCCGAAUCUCCCGGGCCACACGCGAGCUGCAAUGGCAGGUACAAUGGGUUCCAACCUCGUAAGGGGAGGCAAUCUCGAAACCUGCCGUAGUUGGGAUUGAGGGUUGAACCCACGAGGCAUGAACAUGAUCCCUAUAAACCCGGGUUUCUAGCGCGCGGAAUACGUUCCGCUUGACUCACCGGAACACUAUAUAAUCCGGGCGCUGGU
rnacentral:rRNA from 1 species